rnacentral:rRNA from 1 species
UCAGGUAGGAAUACCCGCUGAACUUAAGCAUAUCA